rnacentral:rRNA from 1 species
CAGUCGCCGCGGUAAAACGGAGGGGGCUAGCGUUGUUCGGAAUUACUGGGCGUAAAGCGUACGUAGGCGGCUUUGUAAGUUAGAGGUGAAAGCCCGGGGCUCAACCCCGGAAUUGCCUUUAAGACUGCAUCGCUUGAAUCGCGUAGAGGUGAGUGGAAUUCCGAGUGUAGAGGUGAAAUUCGUAGAUAUUCGGAAGAACACCAGUGGCGAAGGCGGCUCACUGGACGCGUAUUGACGCUGAGGUACGAAAGCGUGGGGAGCAAACAGGAUUAGAUACCCCAGUAGUCCCUGUCUCUUAUAC